rnacentral:rRNA from 1 species
CAAUAGCGUAUAUUAAAGUUGUUGCAGUUAAAAAGCUCGUAGUUGGAUUUGUGGCGUACGGUGUGUUCCGGGCACUUGUUGUCUGAGUAACCUGCUGUUGCCAUCCUUGGGUGGAACCUGUGUGGCAUUAGGUUGUCGUGCAGGGGAUGCCCAUCAUUUACUGUGAAAAAAUUAGAGUGUUCAAAGCAGGCGUAUGCCGUUGAAUAUAUUAGCAUGGAAUAAUGAGAUAGGACUUUUUUGCUAUUUUGUUGGUUUGCGCAAAGAGGUAAUGAUUAAUAGGGACAGUUGGGGGUAUUCGUAUUCCAUUGUCAGAGGUGAAAUUCUUGGAUUUUUGGAAGACGAACUACUGCGAAAGCAUUUACCAAGGAUGUUUUCAUUAA